ACGCUCGACACCUACUGGAGGCAGCAGUGGGGGAUAUUGCACAAUGGGGGAAACCCUGAUGCAGCGACGCCGCGUGAGGGAAGAAGGUUUUCGGAUUGUAAACCUCUGUCCUCAGUGACGAUAAUGACGGUAGCUGAGGAGGAAGCCACGGCUAACUACGUGCCAACAGCCGCGGUAAUCUGAGCGGGCUGGCAAGGC
rnacentral:rRNA from 1 species